rnacentral:rRNA from 1 species
GUGCCAGCAGCCGCGGUAAUACGGAGGGUGCAAGCGUUACUCGGAAUCACUGGGCGUAAAGCGCGCGCAGGCGGUCUUUUAAGUUGGAUGUGAAAGCCUACGGCUCAACCGUAGAACUGCAUCCAAAACUAUUAGACUAGAGUGUGGGAGAGGAAGAUGGAAUUAGUUGUGUAGGGGUAAAAUCCGUAGAGAUAACUAGGAAUACCAAAAGCGAAGGCAAUCUUCUGGAACACUACUGACGCUGAGGCGCGAAAGCGUGGGGAGCAAACAGGAUUAGAUACCCUGGUAGUCCACGCAGUAAACGAUGAAUGUUAGUCGUCGGGGGCCUCGUGUCUUCGGUGAUGCAGCUAACGCAUUAAACAUUCCGCCUGGGGAGUACGGUCGCAAGAUUAAAACUCAAAGGAAUAGACGGGGACCCGCACAAGUGGUGGAGCAUGUGGUUUAAUUCGAAGAUACGCGAAGAACCUUACCUAGCCUUGACAUAUAUUAGAACUCCGCAGAGAUGCAGAGGUGCCUUCGGGAGCUUUUAUACAGGUGCUGCACGGCUGUCGUCAGCUCGUGUCGUGAGAUGUUGGGUUAAGUCCCGCAACGAGCGCAACCCUCGUCACUAGUUACUAACGGUUCGGCCGAGGACUCUAGUGAGACUGCCUUCGUAAGGAGGAGGAAGGUGAGGACGACGUCAAGUCAUCAUGGCCCUUACGGCUAGGGCAACACACGUGCUACAAUGGCCAGGACAGUGAGACGCGAUACCGCGAGGUGGAGCAAAUCUAUAAACCUGGUCUCAGUUCGGAUUGUAGUCUGCAACUCGACUACAUGAAGCUGGAAUCACUAGUAAUCGUAGAUCAGCUAUGCUACGGUGAAUACGUUCCCGGGUCUUGUACACACCGCCCGUC